UUCGUAGGCGGUGCGGCAAGUUGGGAGUGAAAUCUCUGGGCUUAACCCAGAGGCUGCUUCCAAAAACUGCUGUGCUUGAGUGUGGGAGAGGCGCGUGGAAUUGCAGGUGUAGCGGUGAAAUGCGUAGAUAUCUGCAGGAACACCCGUGGCGAAAGCGGCGCGCUGGACCACAACUGACGCUGAGGAACGAAAGCUAGGGGAGCAAACAGGAUUAGAUACCCUGGUAGUCCUAGCCCUAAACGAUCAGGACUUGGGGUGCCGCCCGUUCGGGCGUCGUCCCGGAGCUAACGCGUUAAGUCCUGCACCUGGGGAGUACGGUCGCGAAGACUGAA
rnacentral:rRNA from 1 species